UUAUGCCUUCAUCGAGUAUGAGCAUGAACGAGACAUGCACUGUGAGUACUGUGCCUCUGCCCUUCCUUCUGACCCUCUACCUCUGCUGCCCAGCCUCUCCCCCCGUCGUCUGUUCCCUCCCCUGCCAUACCUGACUUUAGCAUUGUCUCUUCUCCCUCUGUUUCUGAUAUAUCUUUUUUUUAUAUAUUUAUAUACGUGUUUUUUAAAAAUCAAAAACCAAACCCCCCACAACGUGUGUGUGAGCCCAGGGAGGUAAGUGUCACACGUUGAACCUCAGGGGCCAGGAGGGCACUGGGUGGGGUAUGGGGCCAG
rnacentral:lncRNA from 1 species